rnacentral:rRNA from 1 species
GAUGAACGCUGGCGGCGUGCCUAAUACAUGCAAGUCGAGCGAACGGACGAGAAGCUUGCUUUUCUGAUGUUAGCGGCGGACGGGUGAGUAACACGUGGAUAACCUACCUAUAAGACUGGGAUAACUUCGGGAAACCGGAGCUAAUACCGGAUAAUAUUUUGAACCGCAUGGUUCAAAAGUGAAAGACGGUCUUGCUGUCACUUAUAGAUGGAUCCGCGCUGCAUUAGCUAGUUGGUAAGGUAACGGCUUACCAAGGCAACGAUGCAUAGCCGACCUGAGAGAGUGAUCGCCGACACGGGAACUGAGACACGGUCCAGACUCCUACGGGAGGCAGCAGUAGGGAAUCUUCCGCAAUGGGCGAAAGCCUGACGGAGCAACGCCGCGUGAGUGAUGAAGGUCUUCGGAUCGUAAAACUCUGUUAUUAGGGAAGAACAUAUGUGUAAGUAACCGUGCACAUCUUGACGGUACCUAAUCAGAAAGCCACGGCUAACUACGUG